rnacentral:lncRNA from 1 species
UCAGCCUCCCAAAGUACUGGGAUGACAGGUAUGAGCCACCACACCUGACCCUGAAAUUUAAAUUUUAACAGAUAUCCCGCUUUUUUCCUAAAUCUGGCUGCCCACCUCUACCCACGAUUGUAAAACUUCCCUUUUUAGCAGCAGCAGGUGAUCUGGCUCUCCUACAAGAUCCUGGAGUGAACAGGAACAAAGGGGACGGAAGGGGAGCUUGCAGGGAAACCAGGGCUCUGCGGGCAGCCGUGUGCUGUGUGAGCCCCGGCCCACCCUGAGGAGGAAGCGGCAGGCUAUUCCUGUCAGCUGCUGAUAACAUGCCACCAGGCGGGAAUUCGCUUUUGUGUUAAGUAUUUUAAUCAUGUCCGCUCGUUCACCUUUUUAAGUCACAUGGUUUUAUUUGCUGAUGGUGCUGUGCCAGCCUCGGGUUCUUCCAGACGCUCGGAAGGAAAGCUUCUCUGCAGGCUGCGUCAUCCCACUCCAAGGACUGGUGCUGGGCUCCCAGGGGAGUGUUGGGGAGGGAGUGAGCGCCAGCACAGAGGGAAGAAGGGAGGGUGUGGACUGACUACCUCUACCACUCAGUUGCUGUGUGACCUUGGGCAAGUCUCUUGACGUCUCUGAGCCUUAGUCUCUUUAGCUCAUGAGAAAUGGAGAUUAUAACACUAUAUGUGGCAGAGUUGAGGGAGAUUGAAUCAGAUAAUGUAUUUAUGGUGCCUAGCACGAGCAGCACUCCUGGGUGGUGGUGGCAGCGUUAUCCACAGUCCCAGCUUGGCCACUGAUAAGUUCUGUGAACCUAGGGAAGUCACUUAACCUCAGCCUCAGUUUCCUUAUAUGUACGGUUGGGGCUGCUGACAACUUAGCAAAAUUAUUGCUCAUCUUUUGGCUUCUCAGCAUCUUAACCCCUUUCCUAGAAUUUGGGAAUUCUCUGCCAUAGAAGCCUGCCUCCUAUUAUGGAAGACAAAAACGCUGGAUAUGUUAUCUCCCGGCUUCCUCGCAGCUAGCUAGGGUGUUGGUACUGUGUUUCCCUCCUUCCCGCUUCUGCGGAAAUUACCAUCAUACAUUUAUUAAUAGUGUCUUAUCUAUACAGACCAGUUUUUAUGGCUUUACCCUAAACAUUGUAAGGUAUUUGCAAAACAGAAACAGACAGUAUUACAAAGAGAAAAUAACUAGUCCGCAAUAGUGAAGAACAUUUUAAUAUCCCAGAGAAUAUUGGAAACCAGGGGAUCAAAGAUGGGGGGAGGGACGAAUGUAGAUUGCAGUAUAGUUGCAGCAGAGGAGGAAGGGACGAGGACAGGGGGAGAGACCGAGGACUGUGCCCGAGGCAGCCCCCACUCCCUGUUUCACUGAGCCUGGCUUCCACUUUCCCCCGUGCGUGGGGUGUUUGGUCCCUGCUACGCUGCACAGAGGGUGAACAUCUGGCCCUUUGCUUGCUUCCAGGUUCCAGCCAUGGCUCUAGCCCUGAUCUCCAAUAUGGUUUCUGUUCUGUUCCUGGCCCAUGGAGAUGUUUAUCUCAUUUUCAAGCCGACUAUGCCCUUUCCUCCUGUUGCCCCCCCAUCGGAUGAAAACAAUUGUUAUCUAAAACUCAUCAUUAAAAAGUGAUACAUUUUUGUUUUGAAUAGCAUAUGGAGGUUAUUAUUUUUCCAGAAAUUUUCUAUAUUUUUAUCAGGGGGUGUGUGUGUGUAUAUGUAAAUAAACUCUCUAUACCUUUGUACAUCUUUUUUUGUUCACUUAACAGUGUAUCUUGACCAUCCUUAUACCUAAGUCAGCCUUCUUUGAUAAAUGUUGCUGGUCUCUUGGUAUGAUUUUUCUUUUUACUAUGAAAACCUUUCAACAUAUACAAAAGUAGAAAGCAUCAUGUAAUAUUUCUGGAUGCCCCAAUAUUAUAAUAUCCAUGCAGCCUCAAUAACUAUCAGCCCUUAGCCAAUCUUUGUUUUAUGUCUCCUCCCACCCACUUUUCCUCUUCCCCUGAUUAUUUUGAAACGAAUCUCAGUCGUCACAGCAUUUCGUCUGUAAAUGUCAUUUUCAGUCUAUUAGUUUCUUAAAAACACAUCUGCUGUGGCCGAGUUUAGAGCUGAGGAGAGUUAUAUGAGCUCAUAGUGUCACUCUGUCUUCAAGUUCCUCAGUCUGAAAUCAGUUGGUACAAGGGAAGAAAAUAGAGAGAGGCAGCACUAACCUCUAGCCAAGCACACUUUCCAUCUCUCUGCAGAUUGCCUCAUGUCAGGAUGUUAGCGUGACCGUCACGUCUGGAAGGCUUUAUGGCUGAUAUAAAUUCAGGUCCGUUGUUCACUAGGCAUGAAGCCCUCCGUUGUAAGGGAACCAGCCAUCACCCUCAUUACGAGAUGCAUAAAUGUAGGACUUGAAGAUAAAAGCUAUUGGGUUCUUUUCGUCUCUCUGACACCUGAAGAUGAAUUUCUUGAACCUUGUUCUCGUGUU